rnacentral:tRNA from 2 species
GUCUUUGUAGUAUAACUAUUACUCUGGUCUUGUAAACCAGCAAUGGAGACUUUAAACCUCCCCAAGACA